GGGGCGGGCCCCUGCGUCUCUGGGCGCUGGAGGGCGGUGACAGCCACGCUGCGGGGCGCACGGACGGACGGACGGACGGACGGACGGACUCACUCGCCAGGGCCAUGGCGGAAAGCGCCCCUCGCCGCUGCUGCCUGGGCUGGGACUUCAGCACGCAGCAGGUAAAGGUUGUCGCUGUUGAUGCCGAGAUGAAUGUCUUCUAUGAGGAAAGUGUGCAUUUUGACAGAGACCUUCCAGAAUUUGGGACUCGGGGCGGUGUUCACGUGCACAAGGAUGGGCUGACGGUCACUUCUCCAGUCCUAAUGUGGGUCCAGGCACUGGAUAUCAUCUUGGAGAAGAUGAAGGCUUCGGGCUUUGACUUCUCUCAAGUCCUAGCUUUGUCCGGGGCAGGCCAGCAACACGGAAGUAUAUACUGGCAGGCUGGAGCCCAGCAGGCACUGAAAAGCCUCUCACCAGACCUCCCGCUACACCAGCAGCUGCAGGCCUGUUUCUCCAUCAACGACUGCCCGGUGUGGAUGGACUCCAGCACCACAGCCCAGUGCCGCCAGCUGGAGGCUGCUGUGGGCGGGGCUCAGGCUCUCAGCUGCCUCACAGGCUCUCGAGCCUACGAGCGAUUUACAGGAAACCAAAUUGCAAAAAUUUACCAGCAGAAUCCCAAGGCCUACUCACACACAGAGAGAAUUUCUUUGGUCAGUAGCUUUGCCGCUUCCCUGUUCCUUGGCUCUUACUCCCCUAUUGACUACAGCGAUGGAUCUGGAAUGAAUUUGCUGCACAUACAGGAUAAAGUCUGGUCCCAGGCUUGCCUUGGCUCCUGUGCACCUCAUUUAGAGGAGAAGCUUGGCCCACCAGUGCCAUCAUGCUCAGUUGUGGGAGCCAUUUCUUCCUUCUACGUCCAGCGCUACGGAUUUCCUCCAGGAUGCAAAGUGGUGGCUUUCACUGGGGACAACCCAGCGUCGCUGGCAGGCAUGAGAUUGGAGGAAGGCGACAUUGCGGUCAGCCUGGGCACCAGUGACACCCUGUUUCUCUGGCUCCAAGAGCCCAUGCCCGCCCUGGAAGGCCACAUCUUCUGCAACCCGGUUGACCCCCAGCACUACAUGGCGCUCCUGUGCUUUAAAAAUGGCUCCCUCAUGAGAGAGAAGAUCCGCGAUGAGUUCGCGUCCUGUUCUUGGAGCGAGUUCUCUAAGGCACUGCAGUCCACAGAGAUGGGCAACGGUGGAAACCUGGGUUUUUAUUUUGAUGUAAUGGAGAUCACCCCUGAAAUUAUUGGACGUCAUAGGUUUAACACAGAAAAGCGCAAGGUCUCAGCAUUCCCUGGGGAUAUGGAGGUUCGAGCACUGAUUGAAGGACAAUUCAUGGCCAAGAGGAUUCAUGCAGAAGGCCUGGGCUAUCGAGUCAUGUCCAAGACAAAGAUUUUGGCCACAGGAGGAGCAUCUCACAAUAGAGACAUCUUACAGGUGCUUGCAGAUGUGUUUGGUGCCCCGGUGUAUGUUAUAGACACUGCCAACUCGGCCUGCCUGGGUUCUGCAUACCGAGCUUUUCAUGGUCUUGCAGGUGGAACAGAUGUGCCCUUUUCAGAGGUUGUGAAGUUAGCUCCAAAUCCCAGACUAGCUGCUACCCCAAGCCCGGGAGCUUCUCAGAAGAACAAGAUGGUGAGGAAACAGUCACACUUCAAAUACAUAACCCAAGAGAGAAUACUGGAAUUCAACAGAGAAGGGACAGGAAACACUGUCAGUGAAGGAGAAGGGAGAGACGUACGCCACUGGUCAGGAUCAGCUGUGAGCCAGGAGUGACUUCCCAGCAUAGGUGAGUGAGAGACAGAGCAGCUCACAUCUCCUCUGUGGAAUCUUGCUGUCCCAGCCACAGGAGAACCCUGAACCCUGCCAACCCCUGAGGCUAACAUAGGCAGCUAGUGUGAGACCAUGGGACAGAGCUGCCCCGGGGAGGAAGCUUGAGCUGUGUUCCAUACCCUUUCUGAAAACUAAGCAGCUACAGCAAGCUGCCACUUUCAAACCCAGCCUUUGGGAGACUGCAUGCUAUCCUGGGGCCCAGUGCACCAGGACAGAAGCAUUUUGGAAAUUUGGGCUGUCAUUGUUGGGCCUGCAGAGUGAGCUGAGAAUGCUCCUACAGCCAGGGCUAAAAAGUGAGGCUGCUGGUGCCAGGAAGGAAAUACCACUGGAAUGGAGACUGGGACAUGAACUAGGCACGGGUUGCCACUGAGACUUGGUUGCCAGCUGGGUGAGGGUUCUUGCAGCUGUGGUAAGGGUGGUGUGUGGACUGCCACUGCCAAGGGCUGGGGGCAAGCGCUACCAGGAAAAGGGUAUGAGACGGAUGCUUGUUCCUCACCUGCUGGCCCGGGCUGCAGGCCCCCAAGGAGGGCCGUCUUCCAAGUCUCAGGCUCACAAAACCUGGGUGGGGACUGAGGCUGGGAAAGUGAGGGGGUGGUUCAGGAGAUCACUCUCCCCUGCUUGUACCUCUUACCUCAACCUCACCUUCUACUGCCCAUGGACCCUGCAGACCACCAGCCACCCUGACCAUGACCUUGGUCUCACCAUGUUCUUUUAGUGGAAGACAACCACAGGUCAACGGGGUCAGGCCAACCUAUAAAAACAUCUAGCAAGCACUAUUCCGUAAAAACAGCACGUGGGCCCUGUUCUGUUUAAUAGAUGGGGGAGUGAAAUGAAAACAAUAAAACAGCCUUGGGUUUACAAGACUGCCCAAGAUAGGUGGUCAGUUCAUGUUUUCAGGAGCUACACGGAAAUCAUUCGAUCACUUGGAAACAGCUCUGUGGUACUAGCAGGACGUCCGUAACUGACUAGCAGGAAAUGGAGUGUUUAGAGACAUUAAAACAAGCCAACCCACGCAGAGGGGAAGAGCUUCAGAGGGAGGGAUGUCAAACGGGUCUUAGGCAUAAUGAAAAGCCACAUGCUACCCCAGUAGUGGGAGUCAGUGUAACAAUGGGAUGGCACAGAAGAGUGCUGAGACAGAAAACAUUCUGAAGAUGAAUUAUUCACUCACGUAGUAUUAUAUUCUGCUAUUGGUCCUACACCUUUUAGAGGAUACAGAAGAAACUGCAGAAGACCCAGAACAGAACCUCAUGGCAGCUAAAAGUUUGACAUCUUCCAAUUGUAGAAAAGCCUUCAGAUCGGUUUUUUUUUUUUUUUUUUUGAGACGGAGUUUCGCUCUUGUUACCCAGGCUGGAGUGCAAUGGCGCAAUCUCGGCUCACUGCAACCUCCGCCUCCUGGAUUCAGGCAAUUCUCCUGCCUCAGCCUCCUGAGUAGCCGAGAUUACAGGCGCGCGCCACCAUGCCCAGCUAAUUUUUUGUAUUUUUAGUAGAGACAGGAUUUCACCAUGUUGACCAGGAUGGUCUUGAUCUCUUGACCUCGUGAUCUACCCGCCUCCGCCUCCCAAAGUGCUGGGAUUACAGGUGUGAGCCACUGCACCCGGCCCGAGAUUUCUUGUCUCUGAAGCUGCUGCCUACUGUCUGGCCAACCAGCUAAAGAAAUACAAGUGUGAGAAGCACAGACAUCACAGAACCUGUGCUGGGGGAGAAGACGCAGUUCAAGGCGGAGAAGCUGGCAGAAAAGUCGACACCAGCUGAGGAGCUCCGGUGCGUGAGGCUCUGUGUGGCAGGGCAGGGAGGUGGGAAGGUGUGUGAGUCUCUGAAGGGGGGCAAUUCAGCUGGAGAUCUAGCUGAAUUGAAUUCUCCUGGCUUACCUGGGCCAGGAGAAGGGCAGGAAUUUACAUAGCAGGCACAUGUCACACAAACAUUUAUACAACAUUUAGAGAACAACAAUACUAGUAAAUUAUGGGCUAUACUUGUUAUUCAAAACAAGUCAUUACAAGGCAAAACGUGCAUAACAAACUUAACCAAAGGGAAGUGAGCACUCAGCAGCAUUUAGUACACUCAAAAUGUGUAAUCACCACCACAAUUUCUCUUUUUGAAUGUUUCCUUUUAAUGUUUGUGUGUACACAGUAGGCAUAUAUAUUUGUGGGGUGCAUGAGAUAUUUUGGUACAGGCGUGCAAUGGGCAAUGGUGACAUCAUGUAAAAUGGGGUGUCUAUCUCCUCAAACAUUUGUUGUUUAUGUUGCAAAGAAUCCAAUUAUACUUUUCAUUAUUUUUAAAUGUACAAUGAAAUUAUUAGCAAUAGUUACAGUGUUGUGCUGUCAAAUACUAGGUCUUACUCAUUCUACUUUUUUUGCCCCCAUUAACUAUCCCCGUACUCUCAACCCACUGCCCUUCUCCAUCUCUGGUAACUAUCCUUCUACUAUCACCAUGAGUUCAAUUGUUUUGAUUUUGAGAUCCCACCAAUAAGUGAGAACACGUGAUGUUUGUCUUUCUGUGCCUGGCUAAUUGUACUUCACAUAAUGACCUCCAGUGCCAUCUAUGCUGCAGCGAAUGAAAACAUACCAUUCUUUUUUUACAGCUGCAUAGUACUCCAUUGUAAGUAAGUACCACAUUUUCUUUAUUCCUAGAAUCACCUCCUGACUUACUGGCUUCUCAUUCUUUCAUUCAAAGAGUGUUAUCUUCUUGACCCUGUCAUUCUUUUAUUCUUUUAUUUCUCUGAAUUGCCUCAACUGUACCUGGCCACAUUUCUGUGUGUGGCUUUGUGUCCAGUCACUGCAUAAUAUACUGUGUGUAUUUUAUUUUUUAUUUUUUGAAUAGGAAUCUUGCUGUGUUGCCAAGCUGGAGUGGUGCAGCGGCGCAAUCUCAGCUCACUGCAACCUCCGCCUCCCAGGUUCUUAAGUGAUUCCCCUGCCUCAGCCUCCCGAGUAGCUGGGACUACAGGUGCGUGCCACCAUGCCUGGCUAAAUUUUUUAUAUUUUUAAUAGAGACGGGGUUUCACCAUGUUGGCCAGGAUGAUCUCCAUUUCUUGACCUCGUGAUCCACCCACCUCAGCCUCUGAAAGUGCUGGGAUUACACAUGCCUGGCCAUGUAUUUUUACAUGGAAAUGUCCAUGGCCAAAGUGAGAAACUAAAGGGACAUCUUUCUGAAACAAAUUUGGUAAGGCAUCUGGAUUUCUUUACAGAGGAAAAUGAGGAAUGGAAUUUUGAAGAACCUUAUAGAAGCACUUUAAUACAGAGAAAGCCUUUAAUUAAAACUUUUUUUCCUUUUCAGGGGCAUUUCACCAAACAGGUGCUAAAAUUCUGCUUGGAGGGCUCCUUGAGGAUAUUCUCACAGAAAUCUGUUGCAAUUCUUAGUACUGAUCACUCAUUCCUCUGCACUCAUAUUUUCUCUACUAUCCUACCUUAGGUGAUACAAAGCCCUCGUUCACUCUUCAGGUAAGGACCAGGUUAUAGGACGGAAGAGAUGCCUCCCUCUUACUCACUCAGCAUCUGAAGGCCCUACUCACUGAUGAUGACCCUGACAACCAAGAGGGGCAGGACCUCCAAGAACAGCUGGCUGAGGGGUACAGGCUGGCAGAGUGUCUUGUCCGCAAGCUCAGCCAGAAAAUGAAGUUGAGGAUGAGGAUGCUACAUGUCUCUGUGCUCAUACAGCUCACUGUGUUUGCAGUGGGUGAAGUGGGAAGUAUCCGAAUGGACGCUACUGCCUUUGUUUGCAGAAAAUGAAGUUGAGGAUGAGGAUGCUAAAGAUGAGGAGGCUGAAAAAGUUGAAGAACCACUUGCUCCCAGGGAACAACGAAUAAUCAGGAGCCAGUAAUGGGAAGGGAGAUACAGGAGGCUGAAGAAAGGAAGUCCCUCAGAACUGGCUGGAGGAAUAUUCUACCACUUGUUCAAUUUGCCAUGAUCCUUCUGACUCCGACCAGCCUCAGAGGAGAGCCAAAAUCACAUCUGAUGAAGAGGAAGUCAACUCUGCUCUGGAUGUAGGCAGUGAAUCCUCACAUUACGAAGAGGAGGAAGAAGCACUAAGCAUUCUGCCAUGUAGCCUCUAUAUGCUUUGUCCUUUGUACUUUUGCCUGGGCUGAGAAAGGUCAACUCUGAAGACAGGCCCUAUAGAUACAUAUUGGUUUGAAUCAGGAAGUAGGAUUAAAUAUUAAACACAGAUAUCAGAAAAUCAAAUGAUAAUGAAGAGCAAGGGAAGCCGCCAGUGUCUCCCAGGGUCUCACUCAGUCAUGCAGAUGGAGUACAGUGGUAUCUCAUCAUGGCUCACUGCAUGAGCCAUGCCGUGACCUCCCUGGCUCCAGGGAUCCUUCUGCCUCAGUCUGGUUUCAGUUGCUUAAUCUCUCUCAAGCAUAGUAACCUAUGAUCAGUUGACUCGAGAACUCACCAAACUCAUGGAUUUCCUUAUAUCACCUGUCUUCUUCCACGUGGUUAAAUCCAGGCUGAGAUACCUGUUUGGUGUUGGCAUGUUGCCAACUAUUUGAUCACAAGAGAAGAAACUUAAGAAAAAAAAACCCAACUCCACAUUAUGUCAAGAUACGAGAGUUUUGUUUCUCUUUUCCUGUGAGUUUCUAAUCUGGGCAAUUCACCGAACACAAGCUAUCUCUGUCUCUCUCAAUCUUUCUGUCUCUCCCAACAUCUGAUGGCAGCCACACUCUGUCAUCCCACCAAGAAGAGAAUAAUGUGUACCUUUUGUUUUUUUGAGAUGGAGUCUCGCUCUGUUGCCCAGGCUGGAGUGCAGUGGUGCAAUCUCGGCUCACUGUAACCUCCACCUCCUGGGUUCAAGUGAUUUUCCUGCCUUAGCCUCCUGACUAGUUGGGACUACAGGUGCGCAGCACCAUGCCUGGCUAAUUUUUUGUAUUUCUAGUAGAGACAGGUUUCACCCUGUUAGCCAGGAUGGUCUCAAUGUCCUGAUCUCAUGAUCCACCCGCCUCGGCCUCCCAAAGUGCUGGGAUGACUUGAAUUUGUACCUUUUAUUUGGUCAGCCCCUUUGUUUUCUGCAACUGCUGCCUUAUGCCUUCCGUCAAAUCCAUCUAGGAGUCUGUGGUCCCUGACCCCCUUGGAUCAACCUUAGACCUUCAGUCUAACCUACCCCACCAGUCUCAGCAGGGAGGUGCCACAGGUGGCAGAGCAGUAAGUCCCCUGAAAGUCAUGGGAUGGAUGUUGUUUGACUCCUUCAAAUCCUGCUGACCUGUCUAGCUCCCAUCUGUCUUAAAGAAGCACCUUGUAGUCAUUUGAGGAACAAGUCCGCUUGGCUCCUGAUGAGGGAGAAGUGCUCCACAGUGAAUGUGGUAAACAUCCCAACAAUGUCUCAGGUAGACCUCAUAAUCCUUGUACUCUGAGCCUCAGAGUGGGCUAAGAGAUGUCAUCAAUGUACCCAGGAAUCAUAGACACGUGUUGUUUUGAAUCAGAUUCUAGAGUGGAAUUUGAAACACCGACAUGGGUUGGGUCAGUGAGCUUUGCUCUGUUCCUUGCCUCAGGCCAUGCCUGUGUCAUCCUGGGCCCACUGUCAGGAUACUGGAUCCAAGACAGAUGGGACAAAUUCACACCAACCUGUGCAGCGUAUUUCCAAGAGGUGUCUGUGUGAGAUGUCUUAAUUCGAAUAAAAUUUGUCUUGCCAGCUA